rnacentral:tRNA from 1 species
UCCUGGUGACUCAGAUGGUAAAGAGUCUGCCUGCAGUGCAGGAGACCCAGGUUCAAUCCCUGGACCGGGAA